rnacentral:rRNA from 1 species
AACGAACGCUGGCGGCAGGCUUAACACAUGCAAGUCGAGCGCCCCGCAAGGGGAGCGGCAGACGGGUGAGUAACGCGUGGGAAUCUACCCAUCUCUACGGAAUAACGCAUGGAAACGAGUGCUAAUACCGUAUACGUCCUUCGGGAGAAAGAUUUAUCGGAGAUGGAUGAGCCCGCGUUGGAUUAGCUAGUUGGUGGGGUAAAGGCCUACCAAGGCGACGAUCCAUAGCUGGUCUGAGAGGAUGAUCAGCCACACUGGGACUGAGACACGGCCCACGGUCCUACUGGGGGAAGCGAUGGGGAGUAUUAAACGAUGGACGCAAGCCUGAUCCAUCCAUGCCGAUUGAAUGAUGAAAGCCCUAGUGUUGUAAUGCUCUUUCGGCGGUGAAGAUAAUGACGGUAACCGGAGAAGAAGCCCCGGCUAACAUCGUGCCAGCAGCCGCAGUAAAAC